rnacentral:rRNA from 1 species
UACGUAGGGUCCAAGCGUUGUCCGGAUUUAUUGGGCGUAAAGAGCUCGUAGGUGGUUCGGUAAGUCAGGUGUGAAACCUCCAGGCUCAACCUGGAGACGCCACUUGAUACUGCUGUGACUGGAGUCCGGUAGGGGAGCGUGGAAUUCCUGGUGUAGCGGUGAAAUGCGCAGAUAUCAGGAGGAACACCAGCGGCGAAGGCGGCGCUCUGGGCCGGUACUGACACUGAGGAGCGAAAGCGUGGGUAGCAAACAGG